UUUACGUCUUAAUUUAACAAGUUUAACUUUUUGCUAUUUCAAGCUUCUUCGCUCGUGACCUUCGAUUAAUUUUCCAUAAUUAUUAGCAAACACCUUCAUAGUAUAAAAUGCUGAACCGAGGGUUGUUAAUUAGUAUAAUUUGUCGCUGCUAUUGAGCUGUUUGAAAGAGUACAAUUGUAGUGAAUAUAUCAUAACUGCGGGAAAUAAUGCAUCGUCAAGGAUAACUUAUACGUUUCUAGGCUAUGGUCAAUAAAAUUUGCAAUAGGCGGGCAAAUUAUCAAUAAAUGGAAGAUGUUGUAAGAGUUAAUUAAGUAUGUCACCGGUCUACUAUCUGCGAACGAAAUUCGCUAAUGAAAAAAUCCUAUCUUAUUAAAAUAAUUCUCACUUAAUCAGCAAAUAUCAUUUAAACGAGAAAGAUUUCCUUCCUUCUUUCCAUUAAUUUGUUUUUUAAUUGUUUGAAAUUGUUGUUUAAUUAAACAUACAAGGAACGGUGUAAAUGAACAUUGCAUAAAGUACUAAUGAAAUUAAUACUAAAAUACUUUUCUCCAUUUGUAUGAAUUAAUCAAAUCGACAACGACAUAUUUGUAAUAGUGCAUAAAAGCAUUUGAUAAGUAUCGUGCCAUUAAACGAACUUGUUUUAUAUAUAGUACGAACGUCGUUUAUGUACGCUAUUGCUGCACUUAAGAUAAAUGAAAUUUUGCGCGAAGGGUUAAGAGGUAUAAAGGUGCCUCUUUCAGUCGAUUGUAACUCUUCUUCUGCGUUUGUAGCUUUGUAGAUGUCUUACCUCUGCGUACUUGAUCUAUGAGAAUUAAAGAAUCGUUAAGUGACAAAUAAAAAAUUAUAUCUAAGAAAUUUCAUUCUGCGAGUGGCGUCGUUCCAAGACGUAGCCUUCUUACCAUUGACAAAUUGAUUUCCUUUGUCUCAAUUCAUGGAAUUGAGAAAAUCACUAUGAUGCUACCAGUAUAUCUACUAAUGCUUCAACAGAUAAAUUAUUUAAAUCAUUUGUCAAGCGUCGAACAAACUAUUAUAGAUGUUCUUCGAAGAAUCAAAUUUUCGGAUGUUCAACUCGUCGUUCAAAAUCCUUACGGAAACAAUCUCGGAAUAAUCAACGAGAUCUAUAAAAUUGUGGCUCAAACUAUACCAACGAGUUACAUUUCGGUGAACGACUCGGAUCCUUUGGAACUGUCAUCCUCUCAGGUAUCUCAAGCAACGCUGAUUUUAUACAUUUACAUCGCAAAAACUUCACCGAAUUUCGAACAAACGGAAAAUAUCAUACGCGCGAUCGUGUCCAAGAAUCGACCAAAAAUUCUGUUGAUAACUAUGAUGGAGGAAGCAGAUUGCAACUUUGAACCGCUUCUGAAGCAAACGUGGCACAAUCAUUGGAUUGACAUAGAGAUUUUAGAGUUGUCGAAAUUAAAUAGACACACAAUCGCUGCGAAAAUUCAUCGGUAUAACCCAUUUACGAACGUCUACGAUCAACGGCCUUAUGUUUCGGGUAUAGAAUUGUUUCCCAAUAAAGUGGACAAUCUUUAUGGUUACCCGAUAAGAAUAGGCAUGCUGAAACGUCCAGGCUAUUUAUGGUACACGAAAAAUUCACAGGGAUACCCUGUGAUGUAUAGAGGCCCGGACGUAAAAGUUAUAAAAACACUUGCUCGGAUUAUGAACUUCACUAUCGCAGUAUAUCCCAGUGAAAACGUAUUCGCUGAUAUAGUCGAUGAAAAAAUUGACAUGAUUAUUCCGACGUUGUCGCUUUUCGCGGACGCUAAUGCUGUAAAAUGUGAUUUCACUUUACCUUUUAGCUUCGAGAGUUGGUGUCCAGUAGUGCCGGUUAAAUACAAAUCCAAUCAUAUCGAGAUACGCGGUUUAAUCGGAAUCGCCACAAAUUUCUGUGUUCUACUUAUAUUCUGGGGAUUAUCGGUCGUAUUGAAAUUUCAAUCGGACCUGUGGCAACCAUUGAAAAUCUUCGGUCUGUUGAUAGCUACCACCAUCUCAUCGAGGCCAAAGAAGACGACGGAAAGAGUUAUAUUCUUUCUCAUUAUACUCGCUUCGUCGAUGUAUUCGGCGAAUUUGUUCAUUGAUUUGACCAACAUAAGCAUGAAAGAGCACACCGUGAUAGAUUAUAACAGUUACAAGGAGUUGGACGACGCUGGAUUGACUCCCGUUAUUUUGGAUGGUCUCUUCAACGUAACUUUCCUCAACGAAGACGAAUCUUUUUCUCGGUUAAAGAGAAAAGCGAUCCAGAUGGAUAAUGCAGAGAGUUGCGUGAAUUAUUUGGAACAACACAAUAAUAUUACUUGCUUCCUAGAGACGAGAAAUGUAAAUAUGAUAAUUUAUUCGCAUGCGCGCGAAGGUAAAAAGGUCCUGAAAAACUGCGAAAAAUUGUGUUACGCGAAACCACCGAGUGCGUACUUUUUGAAAAAACAUUCGCCGUAUAAAGAUCAAUUUGUAAAGAUCAUAAUACGUUUGGAUGCAGCAGGUAUUCGUAUGAAAUGGUUAAACGAUUAUAUUGGUAAAUUUCGGCCAAGAAAGACUCACAUCAUGGAAGUUAAUAGUUCGUACAUAUCGCCUCUCGUGUGGAAUCUGGCUUACAUCACAUGCAGUGGAUUUUUAAUGUCGCUUUUAGCAUUUUUUGGUGAAAUUAUAAUACACUAUCUUCGCCGUGACAAGGGGACGAAAAGAUUUUUGAACAGAUCGUGAAGUUACGCGUAUUCGAGACUGUGCGUAGUUGAAAUAUAAAUAGUGGUUUGGAAUUCACGUGACUAGAAAUACAAGAAUUUUUCUUGGAAAAGGAUGGCCGAACUUUUCCAUCAAACUCGUUAGCUUUCUCGAACUGUUUAUCCUUAUUAACUCACGUUGAGCAUUUGUUGAACACAAAUCUUUGCUUAGUAAUAUUUAAACAAUCUAAUAUUAGGAUCAACUUAAUGAUCCUGUACUUCAAACUGUGUCUUGAAAUGCCAACUUAUUUUCAGCAUGUUUGACCGCGUUGCGUUGCUGUAAGUUUCGUCUAUGAAACUGAAUAAUCCUAACGAUUUAAGUAACAAAUAUCGAUAAUCUUACCAUUAAAGGCAUUUCAAAAAAUAUAUCUUAUAACGAACGCGACAAAUAUUCACCUAAUAAAGUCACGUCUCUACGUGUAAAAUAGGUAAACGUUCAAAAUCAAUAUCCAUAACCAUUUAGAUACUAUUAAUAACCAACAAUAUCCUAUGCAACACAUUUUCUCAUAUGAAAUAAAGAACAAUUAUGAUUUCGCCGUCGAUAAACCUGACGAUGAAGCGUUUGCACGAGUUUUUCGCACUUUUUGAUCUUUCAAGGCCUGAAACGCACCUACUUAAGAGAAGCAGACAGAGAGAAAGAGAGAGAGAGAGAGAGAGAGAGAAGGGUCGCAAUUUUAGACGUACGAUAAAUUCUGCAGUUCCAUGAAAACCAAAUAAAUGCAUCUGAAAAUGCAGUCGGCCGUGAACGCUAUACAAACGGAGGGUUGAAUAUGGCACUCUCUUUUCCUAGAGUCUCUCCGUCGCAUAUUUUCCCUUCUAGCCCUUGGUUCGUCAGUUUCCCCACGUUCCAUUUCCUGUCGCUACCCCCACUGGGAGUUCCGCUCACCGCUGCGAAGCCACGCAGCAAGUAGUCGGUGUACGACCAGUGUCGGGCCAACCGGCAACGUGUGUAGGUGGUACGUUUACCCUCGCGGUUUAUUUCGAACUCGUUCGAGUUCCACGAGACGAAACCGGAUAACUUGCCAGUAGAAGGAAUUCUGCGUCGUCUCGGGCAUCGAAACACAUCGCCAGACGCAAGAAAGAUCGAGUCUGGUCCCUGAAUGGCUCACAUAUCAAAGUUUGCGGCAAUAAAACGGGUAAAUAAUUAAGAUGGAAGACAUGACAGUAGCUCAUUAUUCCUGACUACACCCAACUCUCAGCCAUAAACCCUAAAGACACUUAAAGCCAAGGAAUUUUAAAAUUAUACUGGCGUCCGAGCUACUCAACUUCGCUCAACUCAACACUAAAAUAUUACUAUACAACGUCUUGUCAAACAACAUUUCACGAAACUGUGAAACUACGUGAAUUCAAAGUGAUCGUAAAAAGAAACUUUCUUUCCGAAGAGUUCUAAAGAAUUAAAAUUAUAAUCGUCGAAAUACAGAACAGAAGAAAAGAAAUGGAAGCUACUGAGUGGAAUAUUACUGGGAAAAGUGACACAAAUAAUCGAAAUGAAUGCCUGAAAGAAAUAACGAAGAUGUUCGAGAAUUAAAGAGAAGGAAAGCAAAGAAGUUGAAACCUUUCAGGAAGCUUCUCAUUGAUUCCUGUAAAAGUAAAUCUCGAACCAAUCAGAACAACUACGUAAAUGAAUUUCUAAAGAUUUAAUACAAAUGUCAUUGUAAAUUUCACGUCUAAUGAAAUAUCGACAAUUUCUUUGUAAGAAAACAGAUUCAGUAAAUAUUAAGAAUAUUCGGAAAACUGACAAGUACAUAAUUAGAUAUUAGUUUUAUCAGAAUUUUUCUGUGCCAUCUGAAAACGUCAGCUCUGAAUAUAUAAUAAAUGCAAUAUGGUAGCGCACUAAGCAAAGUGAUUAAGUCCGAUCACAAAGGAGAAGUAGACCGUUACGUCUGCCAAAUAGGAACUCCAGGUAUUCAAAGGAUUGAACAAAAUGGC